rnacentral:rRNA from 1 species
AGGCUACUGCUAUUGGGAUUCGACUAAGCCAUGCGAGUCAAGGUGUCUUCGGACGCCGGCAUACGGCUCAGUAACACGUAGGUAACCUACCCUCAGGACUGAGAUAACCCCGGGAAACUGGGGCUAAUAUUAGAUAGAUAAAAGAUACUGGAAUGUUCUUUUAUCCAAAGCUUUUGCGCCUGAGGAUGGGCCUGCGUCCGAUUAGGUUGUUGGUGGGGUAAUGGCCCACCAAGCCUGCGAUCGGUACGGGCAGUGGGAGCUGAAGCCCGGAGUUGGGGACUGAGACAAGGCCCCAGGCCCUACGGGGCGCAGCAGGCGCGAAACCUCUGCAAUGCGGGAAACCGUGACAGGGGGAUCCCAAGUGCUCAUGCAUUGCAUGGGCUGUUCUUUGGUCUAAGUAACCAGAGGAGUAAGGACUGGGCAAGACCGGUGCCGGCCGCCGCGGUAAUACCGGCAGCUCAAGUGGUAGCCGCGAUUAUUGGGCCUAAAACGUUCGUAGCCGGAUAAGUAAGUCUUUGGUUAAAUCCUGCGACUCAACCGUGGGAAUUCUAGAGAUACUGCUUGUCUUGAGACCGGGAGAGGUUGGAGGUACUCCUAGGGUAGGGGUGAAAUCCUGUAAUCCUAGGAGGACCACCAGUGGCGAAGGCGUCUCACCAGAACGGACCUGACGGCAAGGGACGAAAGCUAGGGGCACGAACCGGAUUAGAUACCCGGGUAGUCCUAGCCGUAAACGAUACUCGCUAGGUGUCGGCCACGGUGCGACCGUUGUCGGUGCCGUAGGGAAGCCGUGAAGCGAGCCACCUGGGAAGUACGGCCGCAAGGCUGAAACUUAAAGGAAUUGGCGGGGGAGCACCACAACGGGUGGAGCUUGCGGUUUAAUUGGAUUCAACGCCGGAAAUCUUACCGGGACCGACAGCAAUAUGAAGGCCAGGCUGAAGACUUUGCCGGAUUAGCUGAGAGGUGGUGCAUGGCCGUCGUCAGUUCGUACUGUGAAGCAUCCUGUUAAGUCAGGCAACGAGCGAGACCCACGCCCACAGUUGCCAGCGUACUCUCCGGAGUGGCGGGUACACUGUGGGGACCGCCGCUGCUAAAGCGGAGGAAGGAAUGGGCAACGGUAGGUCAGUAUGCCCCGAAUAUCCCGGGCUACACGCGAGCUACAAUGGUUGGUACAAUGGGUAUCUACCCCGAAAGGGGAUGGAAAUCUCCUAAAGCCAAUCUUAGUUCGGAUUGAGGGCUGCAACUCGCCCUCAUGAAGCUGGAAUCCGUAGUAAUCGCGUUUCAACAGAACGCGGUGAAUACGUCCCUGCUCCU